UUUUCGACAAUGGGGGGAACCCUGAUCGAGCCAUCCCGCGUGUGUGACGAAGGCCUUCGGGUUGUAAACCACUUUUCUCAACGAAGAAAAGUCUUAUGCUAAUACCUUAAGAUGCUGACGGUUGUUCAGUAACAAGCCCCGGCUAACUAUGUGCCAUCAGCCGCGGUAAUACAUAGGGUGCAAGCGUUAAUCGGAAUUACUGGGCGUAAAGGGUGCGCAGGCGGCUUGGAAAGAACGGUGUGAAAUCCCGGGGCUCAACCCCGGAACUGCACUAUUAACUAUCAAGCUAGAGUAUGUCAGAGGGGGGUGGAAUUCCGCGUGUAGCAGUGAAAUGCGUAGAUAUGCGGAGGAACACCAAUGGCGAAGGCAGCCCCCUGGGAUAAUACUGACGCUCAGGCACGAAAGCGUGGGUAGCAAA
rnacentral:rRNA from 1 species